GAUGAACGCUGGCGGCGUGCCUAAUACAUGCAAGUCGAGCGAACAGACGAGGAGCUUGCUCCUCUGACGUUAGCGGCGGACGGGUGAGUAACACGUGGAUAACCUACCUAUAAGACUGGGAUAACUUCGGGAAACCGGAGCUAAUACCGGAUAAUAUAUUGAACCGCAUGGUUCAAUAGUGAAAGACGGUUUUGCUGUCACUUAUAGAUGGAUCCGCGCCGCAUUAGCUAGUUGGUAAGGUAACGGCUUACCAAGGCUACGAUGCGUAGCCGACCUGAGAGGGUGAUCGGCCACACUGGAACUGAGACACGGUCCAGACUCCUACGGGAGGCAGCAGUAGGGAAUCUUCCGCAAUGGGCGAAAGCUUGACGGAGCAACGCCGCGUGAGUGAUGAAGGUCUUCGGAUCGUAAAACUCUGUUAUUAGGGAAGAACAAAUGUGUAAGUAACUAUGCACGUCUUGACGGUACCUAAUCAGAAAGCUACGGCUAACUACGUG
rnacentral:rRNA from 1 species